UACGUAGGGGGCAAGCGUUGUCCGGAAUCAUUGGGCGUAAAGCGCGCGUAGGCGGGUUGGUAAGUCCGCUGUGAAAGCCCGGAGCUUAACUCCGGAGGGUCGGUGGAUACUGCCAGUCUUGAAGGUGCUAGGGGGAGAUGGAAUUACCGGUGUAGCGGUGAAAUGCGUAGAUAUCGGUAGGAACACCAGUGGCGAAGGCGGUCUCCUGGGGCAUUCUUGACGCUGAGGCGCGAAAGCUGGGGGAGCGAACGGG
rnacentral:rRNA from 1 species